AGAGUUUGAUCCUGGCUUAGGACGAACGCUGGCGGCGUGCCUAACACAUGCAAGUCGAACGGGGAUAUGUUUCGGAUGUAUCCUAGUGGCGCACGGGUGAGUAACGCGUGAGCGACCUGACCCAAAGAGGGGGAUAACAUCGAGAAAUCGAUGCUAAUACCGCAUAAGACCACGGAGUCGCAUGGCUCUGAGGUCAAAGGAGCAAUCCGCUUUGGGAGGGCUCGCGUCCCAUUAGAUAGUAGGCGGGGUAACGGCCCACCUAGUCAGCGAUGGUAGCCGAGCUGAGAGGCUGAUCGGCCACACUGGAACUGAGACACGGUCCAGACUCCUACGGGAGGCAGCAGUGGGGAAUAUUGGGCAAUGGGACGAAAGCCUGAACCCCAGCAACGCCGCGUGAGGGAAGUAAGGUUUCGGAUUGUAAACCUCUGUCGUAGAUGACGAAGAAAGUGACGGUAAUCUGUGAGGAACGCCCCGGCUAACUACGUGCCAGCCGCAGC
rnacentral:rRNA from 1 species